AAUACCAGCCCACGGUCCAGACCCGCAACAUCCGCUGCCUGCCAGAUGUUUUGGUCAUUAACUGUGAAGUAAACAGCUCCAAGGAGGCAGAAUUCUGGAAGAUGCAGGCAGAGUAUGCCUUUAAGAAGUUGAUGAUGAAGAAGGGUGGUCUGGAACUCCCCCAAAGUAGAGAAAUACCUGUUGGGGAAUGGAACGAAUUGGGAAUGGCAGAGGGAGGGCAUUCUUAUACCUCCAUUGAAGAGCUGAAAGAACG